GCGGCGGUGGCGGAAUUGGUAGACGCCCCGGAUUCAAGUCCCGGUGUCCGCGAGGACGUGUGGGUUCGAGUCCCACCCGCCGUA
rnacentral:tRNA from 1 species